UGGGGAAUAUUGCACAAUGGGCGCAAGCCUGAUGCAGCCAUGCCGCGUGUAUGAAGAAGGCCUUCGGGUUGUAAAGUACUUUCAGCGGGGAGGAAGGCGAUAAGGUUAAUAACCUUGUCGAUUGACGUUACCCGCAGAAGAAGCACCGGCUAACUCCGUGCCAGCAGCCGCGGUAAUACGGAGGGUGCAAGCGUUAAUCGGAAUUACUGGGCGUAAAGCGCACGCAGGCGGUGUGUCAAGUCGGAUGUGAAAUCCCCGGGCUCAACCGGGGAACUGCAUUCGAAACUGGCAGGCUAGAGUCUUGUAGAGGGGGGUAGAAUUCCAGGUGUAGCGGUGAAAUGCGUAGAGAUCUGGAGGAAUACCGGUGGCGAAGGCGGCCCCCUGGACAAAGACUGACGCUCAGGUGCGAAAGCGUGGGGAGCAAACA
rnacentral:rRNA from 1 species